rnacentral:rRNA from 1 species
UACAGAGGGUGCAAGCGUUGUUCGGAAUUAUUGGGCGUAAAGCGCGUGUAGGCGGCUUUGCAAGUCGGGUGUGAAAGCCCUCAGCUCAACUGAGGAAGUGCGCCCGAAACUGCAGAGCUUGAGUACCGGAGAGGAUGGCGGAACUCCCCAAGUAGAGGUGAAAUUCGUAGAUAUGAGGAGGAACACCGGUGGCGAAGGCGGCCAUCUGGACGGAUACUGACGCUGAGACGCGAAAGCGUGGGUAGCAAACAGG